CACACCCAAUCUCAAACUUAAGUCCAUUAAAAUCUCAAGUUGCAUUUCUCUAGGUAACGUGGGUCAAGAAUGGGGUCACAUGCAUUCUCUCAUACCCGCUGCUGUCUCUGCAAAGGUGCAUCACCACUGCCUGGGUGUGGAAACUCCCCUUGCACACAGAUUGUGAGCACUGAAGGAAACCUUUCUAAGAACUACUUAGAUUUAAGAUGGAGAAACUGCAGCCAGGUCUUUGAAACUUCUGCAGCCUCUGUGACACCCAGUCCUGCUCCAGUUCUCCAUGCCAGCAGCAGCUGAGGGCCCUGCUGUCUGCAGCUCCCUGCCAGGGCACGGCGCAGGUGUGAGUCACCAGACCUCCUCCUCCUGUGAGGUGGACAGAAGAAAAAUGCACACGCCCACCUCUUGAGGUGGGGCUCCCUGAGGACUCCCAGGGGCAGCAGGGUCAAAGGCUCCUGAGCGCUAUACCACACAUCUGUCUUCAUAACUGAGAGUUUCAAAUGUGUUUUUUUUUUUGGUUUUUCUCCAGUACCGGGAACCGAACUCACGACCUUGCACUUGCCAGGCAGGCACUUUUGACGCUGAGCUAAAUCCCCAGCCCUGAGAGUUUCAAAUGUUGAUAGCUGGCAAGAAUUAUCACCUUUAUUGCUUUCCUAUUGGUGCUGGAAUAACUUACCACAACCUAAGUGCUUUAAAGUAACACAAGUGUAUAAGCUUACAACUCCAGAGGUCAGAGCAAACAAGACUUCUUAUGCUAAAAUGCAAGCGUCAGCAUGGCUGAGUCCCCUUCUGGUGGCUCUGUGCUAAGCCCUGCUCUGUCCAGCUUUCAAGGCCACCAGCAUGGCUUGAGCAGGGUUCUCGCCUCCCAUCUGGAUGUGAGCACAGCCACAGUGAGUUCCCCUCUGCUCUCAGCACUCUGGGCCGACUCCUCCCUCCUGAACCACAGGUAGCUGCAUGUGUAAAGGCUGCAGAGAUGAUAGUGCACUUGGUCCGUGUAAGUAACCCGCCGCAUUCUGCUGGUGAAAUCACUAUCAAUCUUCCACUUGAAACUUAAACUAGGCUCUGCAAUGUAUUGCAAUAUAUCCACUGGUUACAAAGGUUGGGAUACACACACAUCUGGAGAGCAUCAUUCUACCUCUUAAACCACCACAUUAACAACAGUGGGACAUCAAAAAUUGCAUGACCAGAUUGUUAGACCCAGACAAAUCUCAGAUUGAACACCUCCACAGUCUAAGAACUGCAAAUGAAUAGUGGUCUUUGGCAGAAUAAGGACAAACACAAAAUCCUUGUAAGAAUUCUUGGAAACUUCAGAAGCAAGAUAGGAAGUUAGUUCCAAUUCUGAUUGGUGAAAAUUUAAGCAAGCCUGUGGAUAUUUUUCAAACUAAUUGCUUAUCUGCAAAAAGAGUAUAACUAGCAUGACCUCACUCAUACGUGGAAGAUCAAGGUGAAGUGUAGAGUCGUGGUUAUAGAAGGCUCAAUGUGUGGGAGGUGGGGUGAGGGUUGACCAAUGGUAUCUAAGUUACAGCUUUAAGUUAGAAAUUUAGGUGUGCUCUGGCACAAGGCCGAUGCAGAUAACAGUAAUGUACUGUACAGUUCAAAAUCUAGAAAACACAAUUCCAAAUGUUUUAAUCAUAAGUUAGACAUAUUUGAGGAAAUUUAAACAUUUCGUGAUGAAUAGAUACGCUGAAACAUGACAUGGUACCUCAUAACUAUGUAGAAUUUUCAUGUUUUUAUGUGUGUAUUAAAAUAAAUGUAAACUUAAAAAUAAUAGUGUAUUACUAAAUAAUCUCUUACAUCAUUUCCAGGAAGUGAAGUAUUAUCUUCUGAAGGGGAAUGUUUUACUAAAAAUAAGAAAUUAGGGGAAUGUGGGUGCCAAUGACUAGUAAUAACACAAAAUCCAUAAAAAAGAAGGCAGCAUUUUAUUGUUUUAAAAAUUAUGUGCCUCUACCACUGACAACACAAAAAUAUUUCAUGUAUGAGCAGAGAAACAUUUUCAUUAUAAUUUUUGACUAUAGAAAUACAGCCAUAGGACAUUUUGCUCAAGGCAAAGCCUCUAUUUAUUAAGCUCAUUACGUAGAAGUGACUUUUAUUUUCCUUCAAUCAGCAGGUUUUGGAGUUGUAAAUCGUUGUACUGAAGUUUGGCUGACCAAUGCACUGAUUUUCACUGAAAAGUGUUGAUGUCACAGAAGAAUGAAAUGACCUAACAUAUUUGACGUCUCAUAUCAUGUUGAACUGGGAUUUAUUGUUUUAUGUUGUCUCAUUUUAAAACAAAAUUAGAAAUUGGUAGUCCUACUCAAUUAAAAUAGAAUAAUACAAAAUUGUGUAAGUGAAUAAAGCACACAAAUAAUUUCUGAAGUGCAUGAUUGCAUAUAUUGUAAAGUAUGUUACUCAAAUUUUUC
ensembl:lincRNA